rnacentral:rRNA from 1 species
CCCUUAGAUGUUCUGGGCAGCACGCGCGCUACAAUGGUCUUCGCAAACGGAUGCAUUCUCGAAGGAGAAUGCCAAUCUUGGAAUCUAUGCCUUGGUCGGGACAGUUGCUUGCAAUUUUUCGACUCGAACCAGGAAUUCCUUGUAAUCGUGAUUCAUCACAUCACGAUGAAUACGUCCCUGCCCUUUGUACACACCGCCCGUCGCUCCUACCGAUCGAAGAGUUAGGUGAAUUGUUUUGAUCGAUAAGAUUUGACUAUGGUCAACUCUCGUUGUGAAAUUCUGUGAAUCUGACUGUUUAGAGGAAGGAAAAGUCGUAACAA